CCAGGAGGAGCUUGCCCGGCCUAAUAGGAUGAGCGGAGAGCGAGCGAGCUUUUCGGGAUCCGUUGCAUUCUGGGGGAUUCGCGCUCUUUUCCUUUCCACAAGAUCAUCGAACCUGGAGUGUUUGGAUUUUGAUUAGAGGAAUCCAUCUGAUGGCAUUUUGGCAGCUUGAAUUCACUGUUCGUGGCACUUGACCAACUGGAGAUCAAGCCCUGUGAAGCACUAGCCCGCGGAACUUCUAUUUCACACUCACACAUGCUUCAUGGGAGGAAGAGGAAAGAGGCUGCACAACUGAAACUGAUAAGCCUAUAUCAGUUUCACUGAUCCCUUGUAGAAGGCUCAGCGUUAUUUUAAAAGUGUGUAAAGUUAUUUCUUCUUUU